rnacentral:rRNA from 1 species
UGGGGGAUAUUGCACAAUGGGCGAAAGCCUGAUGCAGCGACGCCGCGUGGGGGAUGAAGGCCUUCGGGUUGUAAACUUCUUUUGCUCUGAACAAGGCAUGCUAAUGGGUGUGUUGAGUGUAGGGGUUGAUUAGCGCCGGCUAACUACGUGCCAGCAGCCGCGGUAAUACGUAGGGCGCGAGCGUUGUCCGGAAUUAUUGGGCGUAAAGGGCUUGUAGGUGGCUGGUUGCGUCUGUCGUGAAAGCUCAUGGCUUAACUGUGGGUUUGCGGUGGGUACGGGCUGGCUUGAGUGCAGUAGGGGAGGCUGGAAUUCCUGGUGUAGCGGUGGAAUGCGCAGAUAUCAGGAGGAAUACCGGUGGCGAAGGCGGGUCUCUGGGCUGUUAAUGACACUGAGGAGCGAAAGCAUGGGGAGCGAACAGG